GGCUCCGGCGCCCUGGCCGCCGCCCUCGCCCGUCUCUACCCCGGCAGCAGCGUCACCGUGUUCGAGACCCCGGAGGUCGCGGCCGCCGCCCAGCAGCACUUCCGGGUCCCGGGGGCGGAGCCGAGCGUCCGCUUCGUGGGAGGAGACUUCUUCCGGUCGCCCCUCCCCCCUGCCGACCUUUACGUCCUGGCGCGGGUUCUGCACGACUGGGACGACGCGGCCUGCGCGGAGCUGCUGGGGAGGGCGGGGCGCGGCUCCGCCCUGCUCCUGGUCGAGGCCGUGCUCUCCCCCGGGGGGCGGGGCCCGCUGCCCGCGUUGCUGACGUCACUCACCAUGCUCGCCCAGGCCGCUGGGCGCGAGCGGGAGGAGGCGGAGUUCCGGGCGCUGACGGCAGCCGCGGGGUUUCCCGACCUCACCCUGCGCCGCCCAGGGGGUCCGUUCGCCGUCAUGCUCGCCCGGAAGUGACGUCAGCGAGGAUGACGUCAGCGCGCUCUCCAGGGUGCGGGGCCGGGAAUAAACCUUAUAUUUGCACCUGAGCUGUCAAUCAUUUCCGCAGCCCCGCCCCAUGCUGACAAUGUCAGUCAGCGCCGUGGGCAGGACUUCCUGCCGGGGUUGUGUCAGUCAAUCUACCGUCACCCAGGCGGAGGGCGGGACUUCCUGCCCCCGGCCCCGCCCCCCGCAAACCCCACGCAGUGGACUCAGAUCUCAGUCUCUUUAUUGACC
rnacentral:lncRNA from 1 species